rnacentral:lncRNA from 1 species
GAGGAGUCUGAGGCAGAUGGGUGGGGUGAGGGGAGCGGGGGGAUUCGCGGGGGCCCGCGGGGGGCACUGGCAGGAUUCGGAAGGGUGCAGUGUGGGAGCUCGGGGGCCGAGGGUGCAUGGCAUGGAGGCAGGAGCGAGGAAGGGGGCCCGAGGAGGGAUAUUUACCGCGAGGAGGCGCGGGAAGUGCUGGCGGAGGUGCUGUGAGGGUGUCUCGGAAAGGUGCUGGGCGAGGGGCGUCCAGGCGAGGGAACCGAGGGGCCUGGGACGUGAGUGCGGAGGGAAGCGGUGUGCAGAAGUGGGGGCUGCCCAGGAGCGGUAGUGACACCCAGACGGCCCGCAGAGGGGCCCGGGCGCGGCGCUGCUGUGAUGGAGACCGGGGAGCGUGGGGAAGGUUCGGAGAGGCCCAGGGCUGCGCUUCCCGGCUUGAGGGGUCCCAGGAGUGAGCGGGAUCGAGAGUGAUCUGUGCAGAGAGGGAGUCUGCGGACCGGGCCAGAGGCUCAGGUUGUUCGGAUGCUGGCGGGACUCGCGUCAGCAUUCGGCCCCAGAGCCCGCGUGAGGGGCGGCGGGUCCUGAAGGACCAACCUCCUGCACGUGAGGGUGUCGUGACUGAGAGGGGCCUGGGCAGUGGGCAUUUUCGGGUGCUGUGCAGCAAGGGGACCGGGGGAGUCCGUCGAGGGCAGAAGAGCGGAAGGCGCUGGUGGCAGACCGAGUCUGGCAGGGACUGUGCUUGUGCAAGGCAGCUGGCCACUGUCAGGCCUAGGACGACGGCCAGAGCGUGGGAGAGACGACAAAGUGCCCCCUCAGCCUGGGAGCGUCGGGGCCUUUGAGCGCCCGCGUCCUCCGCUUCCAACUUGCAGGCCACACUCUGCAGCCCCGUCAGCCUGCACACAGGCCUGUGCUCUUCAAGACCACGCAGGCCUCACCAUUCCCUCUGACAGCUCACUGCUGCCCUUCUUCACACACGCAAGUUCCCUGUGUGACAUCUGAGUUGGUGACUGUGGCUUCAAAUGAUCAGGAAAGUAUG